AAACCUCAGAGCUGCAGCGAGCGGCUGGGCAACCUUCCUGAGGACGGCGCCCCCUCGCCCAGCUCCAAGCUCCUCCCUGUCCCCACAGGAUAUCCCUGGACCUGGCGGGUCACUCUAGCCAGAGCAGCCUUCCACAGUCCUCCAGGGUCAGAGCUACAGUUGAGGACCCUGUAGGUGGUAGAGGUGCCCGGGGCCGGGCUCUGGGGCUGGCAGAGGCAAUGUCAGCGCCUGCCACCUGCGAUGUGGCCAGGGAACUUGGGGCUGAGCAAGGGCACAGAGGGGAGAGUGUGGCAUGAGGGAGAGGCGGGACCCCGCAGAGGCUCCCACACCUUCCAAGGCAGCAGAGGAGAAGGGGAGGCUGCCAACAGCCAGACCAGGGCUCCAGGGGGGCGGCAGGGGGCCCAGGGAGCUCCGGGAAAUGGGACAGCCACUGUCCACCUGCAGAACGCUGGCUUAAGCCUUGCAGACGGGCCCAGUGGGCAGGGUCGUGAUUUUCACUCCCGAAGGGCCUGGGGUGACAAGCCGGAGGUCUGGGAGAUGGGACUGGAGACCGUGUUCAGAAGGAGGAGCUCUCCACUCUGUUGGCAAAAGCCCUGGAGCUCCAGGCAUCCACAGUGACCGAAUGUUGGUAAAGUCCCAGAGGACGGGACCCAGGGCAUGCCCCUCACUGGACGGUGGCCUCGGGCCCUGCAGGGAGUUGAAUGUGGGGUCAUGAAGAUGUCAGAAUUGCGUCUGAAGAUGUCAGAAUUGCAUCUGAGGAGGCAGGUGGGCACACGUGAUGCAGGGACACGCCAUGCACCAGGGUGGGUUCAGAGCAGCAGAAGCUCUAGGGGGCACCUACAGGUUUCUAUAAAAUGGGGGAUUUAAGGGGCCUUGGCCUUCUGCGACUGUGGGGCUGGCUGAGGAGCAUCUGGGAAGCCACGUGGGAGCUGGAGGUCACAGGGCAGGCCGGCGGGAGGGCAGCGGGGCAGGGAUUUGGGCCCCAUCUCCAACACUGAGCCUGGGCCGGGCACAUAAAGUCCCCACAAUUGCUGUGGAAAGAACCAAGUGAAUGCCUAACUUCCUGCCAGCCUUCCAGGAGUAACUCAGUAAAACAAAACCAACCAACCAACAAACCCAGAAGAGGCCCGAGGUCCAUGGUAAAAAUUCAAGAGGUGGAAGGGGCUGGACUAUGGGACCAAGGUCAGGUCUUUCUCCUUCGAGGGACCAAUGGGUGGCCAGGCUCUGAGGCUGCGAGGUCCCCGACACGG
rnacentral:lncRNA from 1 species